rnacentral:rRNA from 1 species
UGCGGAGGGAUCAUUACCGAGUUUACAACUCCCAAACCCCUGUGAACAUACCAAUUGUUGCCUCGGCGGAUCAGCCCGCUCCCGGUAAAACGGGACGGCCCGCCAGAGGACCCCUAAACUCUGUUUCUAUAUGUAACUUCUGAGUAAAACCAUAAAUAAAUCAAAACUUUCAACAACGGAUCUCUUGGUUCUGGCAUCGAUGAAGAACGCAGCAAAAUGCGAUAAGUAAUGUGAAUUGCAGAAUUCAGUGAAUCAUCGAAUCUUUGAACGCACAUUGCGCCCGCCAGUAUUCUGGCGGGCAUGCCUGUUCGAGCGUCAUUUCAACCCUCAAGCCCAGCUUGGUGUUGGGACUCGCGAGUUAAACCGCGUUCCCCAAAUUGAUUGGCGGUCACGUCGAGCUUCCAUAGCGUAGUAGUAAAACCCUCGUUACUGGUAAUCGUCGCGGCCACGCCGUUAAACCCCAACUUCUGAAUGUUGACCUCGGAUCAGGUAGGAAUACCCGCUGAACUUAAGCAUAUCAA